rnacentral:rRNA from 1 species
ACACUCCUACGGGAGGCAGCAGUGGGGAAUUUUGGACAAUGGGCGAAAGCCUGAUCCAGCAAUGCCGCGUGCAGGAUGAAGGCCUUCGGGUUGUAAACUGCUUUUGUACGGAACGAAAAAGCUCCUUCUAAUACAGGGGGCCCAUGACGGUACCGUAAGAAUAAGCACCGGCUAACUACGUGCCAGCAGCCGCGGUAAUACGUAGGGUGCGAGCGUUAAUCGGAAUUACUGGGCGUAAAGCGUGCGCAGGCGGUUAUGUAAGACAGAUGUGAAAUCCCCGGGCUCAACCUGGGAACUGCAUUUGUGACUGCAUGGCUAGAGUACGGUAGAGGGGGAUGGAAUUCCGCGUGUAGCAGUGAAAUGCGUAGAUAUGCGGAGGAACACCGAUGGCGAAGGCAAUCCCCUGGACCUGUACUGACGCUCAUGCACGAAAGCGUGGGGAGCAAACAGGAUUAGAAACCCCAGUAGUCCCA